AUACGUAGGGGACGAGCGUUGUCCGGAAUUACUGGGCGUAAAGGGCGCGCAGGCGGAUAUUUAAGUCAGCUGUAAAAGGCAUGAGCUCAACUCAUGUAUGCGGUUGAAACUGGGUAUCUAGAGUGCUGGAGAGAUAGGCGGAAUUCCCGUUGUAGCGGUGAAAUGCGUAGAUAUCGGGAAGAACACCAGUGGCGAAGGCGGCUUACUGGCCAGCAACUGACGCUGAGGCGCGAAAGCCAGGGGAGCGAACGGGAUUAGAUACCCCGGUAGUCCUGGCCGUAAACGAUGAAUGCUAGCUGUGGGUGUCGAGAGGCAUCCGUGCCGGAGUUAACGCGAUAAGCAUUCCGCCUGGGGAGUACGACCGCAAGGUUGAAACUCAAAUGAAUUGGCGGGG
rnacentral:rRNA from 1 species